rnacentral:rRNA from 1 species
UACGAAGGGGGCUAGCGUUGCUCGGAAUCACUGGGCGUAAAGCGCACGUAGGCGGAUUGUUAAGUCGGGGGUGAAAUCCUGGGGCUCAACCUCAGAAUUGCCUCCGAUACUGGCAGUCUCGAGUGCGGGAGAGGUGAGUGGAAUUCCCAGUGUAGAGGUGAAAUUCGUAGAUAUUGGGAAGAACACCAGUGGCGAAGGCGGCUCACUGG